GCGGGUAUGGCGAAAUUGGCAGACGCACCAGAUUUAGGUUCUGGCGCCGCGAGGCGUGGGGGUUCAAGUCCCUCUACCCGCACCA
rnacentral:tRNA from 1 species